ACAGAGCGGCGGCGUGCGCUCUUCCUCCGGGUACCUGGCGUCCGCCGCGGAAACGCCUCACGCGUUCCGCGCCACUUCCGGGUGUGCGGGCUUCGCCGUCCGUCAGGUUUCCGCGGUGGGGACAAGGACCCCGCGCGUCUGCCUGCCUGGGACGACUCCGGCUUGGCUAGGCCGGGAUCCCCGCUGCCACCGCUCUGGGUUAGGAAUUAACUCUACGAAGAGCUCGGUGCGGGAUGCGGACCGGUAAAGUGGAAGCACCGGCGAUCCGGAAGUGGCGCUGCAGGGACACGGCGAUGGCCGGGACGUGACCCAAUACUGCCCAAGAGGCUUAGUAGUCGGAGGCGGCAGGAACGCAGGGUGCCGUGGAGGCGGGAGAAGUAGCCUUCGUUCUUCAAGCCCAGAAAAUUGAGAAACGGUUGUUUUCCGUGGCUACUGGAAGAACUGGAAAGAGGAACUGGGAUUCGGUAGGGUGGAGGUCAAAGACAGGUGGGAGGAGCUAAGAAAGGCGGAAGAUUUAAAUUUACUGCUGAAGUUUUUUUGCAAGGCCGGGAAAGUGGACGUGGGUACACAGUUGAGAUCAGGGGUGAACAGCUUAAAAGAGUGAGCUUAAACCAUACUGUACAUAAUCUCGUUCUCAAAGCAGAGGUGAAAUAGCCCCUAGUUAGUGUGCAUAGGGUGCAUGGAAUGGAGAGGACUGGCCUACCGUCUAAUAUGGAGGUCCCCAAAAAGCUGAGAGAAUGUGAAAAUAAGAGUCCUGAGCCAAAAGUGAAAUAAGUGCACCCCAUUCAGAAGAUGGAGCCUGAUUCUUAUGCCUGGAUGUAUUGGAGGUAUUUAGUGACUCACUUCUGAAAAAUACACUGUGGCAGAAAUGACAGUGUGUGACUUCUUCAAGUAAGAUGUAAGAGGGACUGUUGAUAUGGUAGGAUUUGCUCUGAAGGAAGCCAGCUGCCGAAUGUGAUACUCAGGCUACACAGUGGGCAAGGCCCCGUGAUGAGAAACAGCUUCUGUGCUUGAUUGAGAUUUCGUUCUUCAGAUGCUGAACCUCUAGCUGUGCUUGGCCACCUCGGGAAAAAACUCUGAGCCAGAACCUCCUCUUUAUCACAGCCAGGGAAAGUGCCCCUGAAUUUGAGAACUCCAUUAGAAACUAUGAAGAAAAACAAAUACAGAAAAGGAUGAGUCAGCUGGAGCUUUCAAAGUGGUCCAAGCAGAUGUCAGUGAAGAUGGCCACAAGUAAGAUGCUGAUGAUGCUAAACUGACAAAGCAGUCCUGCAGCUAGAAACAUCUCUUCCACAGCGAACCAUGGAAAUCUUUUCCAGCUACAAGUACUUGCUCCCCUCCCCCAACUCCUAUGCCACUUUUGAAUUCUGUGUGGCAUCCUUAACUUUUAUCAAGACGAUG
rnacentral:lncRNA from 1 species